rnacentral:rRNA from 1 species
GACGAACGCUGGCGGCGUGCUUAACACAUGCAAGUCGAACGGAAAGGCCCUGCUUUUGUGGGGUGCUCGAGUGGCGAACGGGUGAGUAACACGUGAGUAACCUGCCCUUGACUUUGGGAUAGCUUCAGGAAACUGGGGCUAAUACCGGAUAGGAGCUCCUGCUGCAUGGUGGGGGUUGGAAAGUUUCGGCGGUUGGGGAUGGACUCGCGGCUUAUCAGCUUGUUGGUGGGGUAGUGGCUUACCAAGGCUUUGACGGGUAGCCGGCCUGAGAGGGUGACCGGCCACAUUGGAACUGAGAUACGGCCCAGACUCCUACGGGAGGCAGCAGUGGGGAAUAUUGCACAAUGGGCGGAAGCCUGAUGCAGCAACGCCGCGUGCGGGAUGACGGCCUUCGGGUUGUAAACCGCUUUCGCCUGUGACGAAGCGUGAGUGACGGUAAUGGGUAAAGAAGCACCGGCUAACUACGUG